CCAUUUAGGCUUUAGCUAUUUUAAACUUUGUGUCAAUCACUUCUACACCUAUAUAAGCUCAUAUUAAACAAUCUGAAUUUUUUUAUAUGGUUGGGAUUGUUUGUCUUAUUUUUGGUUGAAUUUGGAUUGAAGGUUUACCGAGCAUGAUAGCAAUAGGGACUUCAACAUGCAACGGUUUCAUGACAAAAGGAAAUCUACCUGGAAGGUUGAAGACUUUGGAGUGAAUCUUGUUUUAGCCUCUUAUGAUGAUAAAGAAGCCUUAAGAAGUUAGGGAGAGGGAACUGAGUGGAAUGCCUAUUCCUUUUGAGUUUGAGGAUUGUGAUAGUGAUGAUUUCAAGGAUCUCUUGAUGAAUGAGACUCCUUCAAAUAUUAUUUAUUGAGCAAAAGUGCUUGCAGGCCUCUUGGAAGAUCAGCAUAUGACAGAGACUCAUUACUUGUUUUCCUGGCAGGUGGGUGACACAGGAAGAGGCAUUUGCUGCAUCUGAAACUUCUUCAAAUUCAACUAAAAAAAAAAGCCCAGAUGGCUUUGUUGCGUGGACUUGUGGAUAAUCCAUAUUGGUGUAUGGAGAA